UGAGUUUUUGACCUGGCUCAGGACGAACGCUGGCGGCGUGCUUAACACAUGCAAGUCGAACGAUGCAGCCCAGCUUGCUGGGUGGAUUAGUGGCGAACGGGUGAGUAACACGUGAGUAACCUGCCCCUGACUCUGGGAUAAGCGUUGGAAACGCACGUCUAAUACUGGAUAUGACCGCCGAUCGCAUGGUCUGGUGGUGGAAAGAUUUUUUGGUUGGGGAUGGACUCGCGGCCUAUCAGCUUGUUGGUGAGGUAAUGGCUCACCAAGGCGACGACGGGUAGCCGGCCUGAGAGGGUGACCGGCCACACUGGGACUGAGACACGGCCCAGACUCCUACGGGAGGCAGCAGUGGGGAAUAUUGCACAAUGGGCGAAAGCCUGAUGCAGCAACGCCGCGUGAGGGAUGACGGCCUUCGGGUUGUAAACCUCUUUUAGUAGGGAAGAAGCGUAAGUGACGGUACCUGCAGAAAAAGCACCGGCUAACUACGUGCCAGCAGCCGCGGUAAUACGUAGGGUGCAAGCGUUGUCCGGAAUUAUUGGGCGUAAAGAGCUCGUAGGCGGUUUGUCGCGUCUGCUGUGAAAUCCCGAGGCUCAACCUCGGGCUUGCAGUGGGUACGGGCAGACUAGAGUGCGGUAGGGGAGAUUGGAAUUCCUGGUGUAGCGGUGGAAUGCGCAGAUAUCAGGAGGAACACCGAUGGCGAAGGCAGAUCUCUGGGCCGUAACUGACGCUGAGGAGCGAAAGCGUGGGGAGCGAACAGGAUUAGAUACCCUGGUAGUCCACGCCGUAAACGUUGGGCGCUAGAUGUAGGGACCUUUCCACGGUUUCUGUGUCGUAGCUAACGCAUUAAGCGCCCCGCCUGGGGAGUACGGCCGCAAGGCUAAAACUCAAAGGAAUUGACGGGGGCCCGCACAAGCGGCGGAGCAUGCGGAUUAAUUCGAUGCACGCGAAGAACCUUACCAAGGCUUGACAUACACCGGAAACGGCCAGAGAUGGUUGCCCCCUUGUGGUCGGUGUACAGGUGGUGCAUGGUUGUCGUCAGCUCGUGUCGUGAGAUGUUGGGUUAAGUCCCGCAACGAGCGCAACCCUCGUUCUAUGUUGCCAGCGCGUUAUGGCGGGGACUCAUAGGAGACUGCCGGGGUCAACUCGGAGGAAGGUGGGGAUGACGUCAAAUCAUCAUGCCCCUUAUGUCUUGGGCUUCACGCAUGCUACAAUGGCCGGUACAAAGGGCUGCGAUACCGUAAGGUGGAGCGAAUCCCAAAAAGCCGGUCUCAGUUCGGAUUGAGGUCUGCAACUCGACCUCAUGAAGUCGGAGUCGCUAGUAAUCGCAGAUCAGCAACGCUGCGGUGAAUACGUUCCCGGGCCUUGUACACACCGCCCGUCAAGUCAUGAAAGUCGGUAACACCCGAAGCCGGUGGCCUAACCCUUGUGGAAGGAGCCGUCGAAGGUGGGAUCGGUGAUUAGGACUAAGUCGUACAGU
rnacentral:rRNA from 1 species